rnacentral:rRNA from 1 species
AUUGAACGCUGGCGGCAGGCCUAACACAUGCAAGUCGAGCGGAUGCAUCGAGCUUGCUCCUGGAUUCAGCGGCGGACGGGUGAGUAAUGCCUAGGAAUCUGCCUGGUAGUGGGGGAUAACGUCCGGAAACGGGCGCUAAUACCGCAUACGUCCUGAUGGCGAAAGUGGGGGAUCUUCGGACCUCACGCCUUCAGAUGAGCCUAGGUCGGAUUAACUAGUUGGUGGGGUAACGGCCUACCAAGGCGACGAUCCGUAACUGGUCUGAGAGGAUGAUCAGUCAGACUGGCAGUGAGACACAGCACAGACUCCUGCGGGAGGAAACAGUGGAGAAUAUUGGACGAGGAGGGAGAGCCUGAUACAGGCAAGCGGCGGGUAUGAAGAACGACUUCGGAUUGUAGAGCGAUGUAAGUUGUGGGGAUGGACAGUAAGUUUAUACCUGGCUGUAUUGACGGUACCAACAGAAUAAGCUCCGGCUAACUUCGUG